rnacentral:rRNA from 1 species
AACGAACGCUGGCGGCAUGCCUAACACAUGCAAGUCGAACGAGACCUUCGGGUCUAGUGGCGCACGGGUGCGUAACGCGUGGGAAUCUGCCCUUGGGUUCGGAAUAACAGCGAGAAAUUGCUGCUAAUACCGGAUGAUGACGUAAGUCCAAAGAUUUAUCGCCCAAGGAUGAGCCCGCGUAGGAUUAGCUAGUUGGUGAGGUAAAGGCUCACCAAGGCGACGAUCCUUAGCUGGUCUGAGAGGAUGAUCAGCCACACUGGGACUGAGACACGGCCCAGACUCCUACGGGAGGCAGCAGUGGGGAAUAUUGGACAAUGGGCGAAAGCCUGAUCCAGCAAUGCCGCGUGAGUGAUGAAGGGCCUUGGGGUUGGUUAAAGACUCUUUUACCCGGGUACGUGAUAAU